CACGUAGGGUGCGAGCGUUGUCCGGAAUUAUUGGGCGUAAAGAGCUCGUAGGCGGUGUGUCGCGUCGGCCGUGAAAACCUGGGGCUUAACUCUGGGCUUGCGGUCGAUACGGGCAUCACUUGAGUUCGGCAGGGGAGACUGGAAUUCCUGGUGUAGCGGUGAAAUGCGCAGAUAUCAGGAGGAACACCAGCGGCGAAGGCGCCGCUCUGGGCCGUAACUGACGCUGAGGAGCGAAAGCAUGGGUAGCAAACAGG
rnacentral:rRNA from 1 species